ACAAUCCAACCAUUUUAUAGAGUUGUGGUUCUAGAGUAAGGAAUUUCAUAAGGCAGGAGAGUCCCUACCAUGUGAAGCAGAAUACAAAAGCAGCAUGAUUAAUUGCUGGGCCAAUGCAGGGGACAUGUACAUAAAUUAAUGAAAUACUCCAAAAAUAUAGCAAACUGCUGUUGCUACUUAAUGGUCCUGAAUCUCCAGAGGAGAAGGCCCCGAAUCCUCGGGUUUGCUUGUUGAUCGGCGGCCGGGGCGGGGUCCAAGUGGUCGGAGAGGCUGUAUUGGAGGGGCUGGUCAGAGGCUCGAAGUUUUCGGACGGACUCAGAGUCGGCUGUGGUCGGGUGCUUCCAAUGCAAGUUGUCAGCGCUUGGAAGUUCAUGGCAGGGAGAGUUUCUCCCUUCUGCCGCCUGCGUUAGAUGAUUAAUUGGAGAAUCCACUAACUAUUCAGACUUCCCAUGGCUUGACAUCUGGUUCACCAUCUGAAAUUCCCAUUGUUCACUUUUGGUUCUGGUGAAAGCAAAGAAUGAGGCAAACAGACAAGUUCGGCUGCUCAAACUAAUGCCUUUUUAAAAGGCACCAGUGAUUACCUCUGAUUCCAGAAUACCGCAUGAAGAUUAAAAUGCUGAAGUUCUCCAUCAGGAACAAUUAAACUCGGAUCAAAUAAAUCACCACUUCUCCAAUUAAGAGCAAAAGCAUCAAUUUUCACCAAAUAACCAAAAGUGAAAAACAAAAU